UAAAGGAAGCGAUUCGGGCUACGGAUGGUCAUGCGUCGCAUUAGCUAGUUGGCGGGGUAACGGCCCACCAAGGCGACGAUGCGUAGGGGUUCUGAGAGGAAGGUCCCCCACACUGGUACUGAGACACGGACCAGACUCCUACGGGAGGCAGCAGUGAGGAAUAUUGGUCAAUGGCCGCAGGGCUGAACCAGCCAAGUCGCGUGAGGGAUGACGGUCCUAUGGAUUGUAAACCUCUUUCGUCAGGGAGCAAAGGGCGCCACGUGUGGCGCUUUGCGAGUACCUGAAGAAAAAGCAUCGGCUAACUCCGUGCCAGCAGCCGCGGUAAUACGGAGGAUGCGAGCGUUAUCCGGAUUUAUUGGGUUUAAAGGGUGCGCAGGCGGAAUGUCAAGUCAGCGGUAAAAUUUCGGGGCUCAACCCCGUCGUGCCGUUGAAACUGGCGUUCUUGAGUGAGCGAGAAGUAUGCGGAAUGCGUGGUGUAGCGGUGAAAUGCAUAGAUAUCACGCAGAACUCCGAUUGCGAAGGCAGCAUACCGGCGCUCAACUGACGCUCAUGCACGAAAGCGUGGGUAUCGAACAGGAUUAGAUACCCUGGUAGUCCACGCAGUAAACGAUGAAUACUAACUGUCCGGGCAGAAUGAUGCCUGG
rnacentral:rRNA from 1 species